rnacentral:rRNA from 1 species
GGACCGUAUACAAGUCUCCUGGGAUGGAGCAUCAUAGAGGGUGAGAAUCCCGUCUUUGAUACGGACUACCAGUGCAUUGUGGUAUGCUCUCAACGAGUCGAGUUGUUUGGGAAUGCAGCUCAAAAUGGGUGGUAAAUUCCAUCUAAAGCUAAAUAUUGGCGAGAGACCGAUAGCGAACAAGUACCGUGAGGGAAAGAUGAAAAGAACUUUGGAAAGAGAGUUAAACAGUACGUGAAAUUGCUGAAAGGGAAACGCUUGAAGUCAGUCACGUCUGCUGGGAAUCAGCCUCGCUUCUGCGUGGUGUACUUUCUGGUAUGACGGGUCAGCAUCAGUUUUGACCACUGGAAAAAGGUGUGGGGAAUGUGACAGCUCCGGCUGUGUUAUAGCCUCAUAUUGUAUACAGUGGUUGGGACUGAGGAACGCAGCACGCCGAAAGGCCGGGUCUUUGACCACGUUCGUGCUUAGGAUGCUGGCAUAAUGGCUUUAAGCGACCCGUCUUGAAACACGGACCAAGGAGUCUAACAUGCCUGCGAGUGUUUGGGUGGAAAANUCGAGCGCGCAAUGAAAGUGAAAGUUGAGAUCCCUGUCGUGGGGAGCAUCGACGCCCGGACCAGAACUUUUGGGACGGAUCCGCGGUAGAGCAUGUAUGUUGGGACCCGAAAGAUGGUGAACUAUGCCUGAAUAGGGUGAAGCCAGAGGAAACUCUGGUGGAGGCUCGUAGCGGUUCUGACGUGCAAAUCGAUCGU